GAUGAACGCUAGCGGCAGGCUUCCCUUAUGCAAGUCGAGGGGCAGCAUGGGUAGCAAUACCUGAUGGCGACCGGCAAACGGGUGCGGAACACGUACCCAACUUACCCUUAUCUGGGGAAUAGCCCGGUGAAAACCGGAUUAACACCCCAUAGUAUUAUGGAAGGGCAUCUUUUUAUAAUUAAAAAUUUAUUGAAUAAGGAUGGGCGUGCGUCUGAUUAGCUAGUUGGUAGGGUAACGGCCUACCAAGGCAACAAUCAGUAGCUGAUGUGAGAGCAUGAUCAGCCACACGGGCACUGAAACACGGGCCCAACUCCUACGGGAGGCAGCAGUGAGGAAUAUUGGGCAAUGGACGCAAGUCUGACCCACCCAUGCCGCGUGAAGGAUGAAGGCGUUCUGCGUUGUAAACUUCUUUUAUCUGGAAAGAAACCUACAAUUUCUAUUGUACCCAACGGUACCAAAGGAAUAAGCACCGGCUAACUCCGUG
rnacentral:rRNA from 1 species